rnacentral:rRNA from 1 species
AGAGUUUGAUCAUGGCUCAGAAUCAACGCUGGCGGCGCGCUUAACACAUGCAAGUCGAACGAGAAAGUGGAGCAAUCCAUGAGUAAAGUGGCGUACGGGUGAGUAACACGUGGGUAAUCUACCUUUUAGUGAGGAAUAACGAUGGGAAACCGUCGCUAAUACCGCAUAAUCCCGAGAGGGGAAAGCAGCAAUGCGCUGAAAGAGGAGCCCGCGGCCGAUUAGCUAGUUGGUGGGGUAAGAGCUCACCAAGGCCGAGAUCGGUAGCCGGCCUGAGAGGGCACACGGCCACACUGGCACUGAAACACGGGCCAGACUCCUACGGGAGGCAGCAGUGGGGAAUCUUGCACAAUGGGGGCAACCCUGAUGCAGCGACGCCGCGUGAGCGAUGAAGCCCUUCGGGGUGUAAAGCUCUUUCGGCAGGGAAGAUGAUGACGGUACCUGCAGAAGCAGCUGCGGCUAACUACGUGCCAGCAGCCGCGGUAAUACGUAGGCAGCGAGCGUUGUUCGGAGUUACUGGGCGUAAAGGGUGUGUAGGCGGUUCUUUAAGUUUGGUGUGAAAUCUCCCGGCUUAACCGGGAGGGUGCGCCGAAUACUGAGGGACUAGAGUGCGGGAGAGGAAAGUGGAAUUCCUGGUGUAGCGGUGAAAUGCGUAGAUAUCAGGAGGAACACCGGUGGUGUAGACGGCUUUCUGGACCGUAACUGACGCUGAGACACGAAAGCGUGGGUAGCAAACAGGAUUAGAUACCCUAGUAGUCC